UACAGAGGGUGCGAGCGUUAAUCGGAAUUACUGGGCGUAAAGCGCACGUAGUCGGCUUUGCAAGUCGGGUGUGAAAUCCCCGGGCUCAACCUGGGAACUGCAUCCGAGACUGCAUUACUAGAGUAUGGGGAGAGGGAAGCGGAAUUUCUGGUGUAGCAGUGAAAUGCGUAGAUAUCAGAAGGAACAUCAGUGGCGAAGGCGGCUUCCUGGACCAAUACUGACGAUCAAGGUGCGAAAAGCCGUGGGGGAGCAAAACAGG
rnacentral:rRNA from 1 species